GUAAUCAUCAUCUUUUGUAAACAUGGGCAUUGCAAUGUGGCAUUUCCUGAAUAAAACCUCCUUAGCCUCGGUAAGCAUUCCAGCUUAAUCCAUCUGAGUCGUCCAAAUAUUAUCUGAUCACAAUCAUCUUCCUCUUCAUUUCUUGUAAUUUCUUUGAUUGAUCCACAAUAUCCUAUGCUUAGAGUCUCAAGUUUCACCAAACUUUUGAGUGUUGUAAAAGUGAAUAAAUACUCCAUCCUUUCGCAGUCUAUCACAUAUAAAUCUUUAAGAUUGAUGAAUGAUACUGCACAAGAAACUAUUCUUUCUACCAGAGGGCACUUGUAAAGCUUUAACAGUUCAAGUUUUUCAGUGUAUGGUUGUACCCACGUGUGCUCUAAACCUAUACACUCCAACUCCUUUAAUUCCAACAAAUAUAAUUGUUUCAAUCCAGCAAGUACUUUGUCUUGAACUUGAAGCUUUUUAGAGGGAAAUAUCUCCUUCAGACCAAAGCAUUUUUCUACUGUAAGCCAUUCUAAAUUGGGUAGCUUGUGAAAGAAAUCAAAAGGCAAACUAUCUUUCCCAUUGUUAUCAUCCUCAAAGAAUAGUACAAGAUAUUUUAAAUUACAAAGAAGGUCUUGUGGCAAACGUGCAUCACUCAUUAGCUUAAUGUUUUCCUCAUUGAGUGUAAGUCCCUUCAAUUUAGGAGAAACCUGACAAUUGAAGUCAAACAAAUUCAAAAGACGAGAUGUGUUGAUGUUAGUUAGAUACAAAGAAGAAUUUAUUAAUAAAAAGAAAAAGAAACACAAAAGGUUAAAUUCUAAUGCUUCAUUACCUUUUCAAUCGAGAACAAAGGUUGUUGUAACAACUUACUAGGGCCCUCUAAAACUUCUUUUUUACUAUCAUCAUCAAAGCUUGAUCUGAAUAGCUUCAGCUUAGGACAACAUUCCACAUAUAACCUAUAUAACAAGGGACAUUCUAGAUGAUGCUUUCCAGGGUAAAAGCAACUCAACAGUGGCAUGUUUUCAAGAUAUAGACAUGACAAACAAGGGAAUUCAAACAUUAUUGUCAUUCCAUGUUCCAUUUCAUCUUCCCUUCCAACUAUUUCUACCAUUUUCUCACAGUUCUGUAUAUCAAGUGUCUCCAACUUCCCAAGAUUUUUGGCAAGUGAUAAAGGGAACAAUGUUAAUAGGCUUCCACAACCAUCAACAUCCACUUCCUGCAAAUUGGAAAAGCUGACAAUUUCUUCAAUAUUUUCCUUCCAUACAACUUUUAAAUUUGACAAGUCCUUUAAUAUAAGCUUUUUCAAACCAAAGAUUAUUCCCUUUGUUUCAACCUCAAUCUCAUCAGUGUCAAAUAUUACUUCUACUUCAUUGGAGCUAUGCACAUUCAAUUCUUUUAGGUUCUUCAAGUAAGGAAGUACAUGAGAUGGAAUUACGAAGGAUCUAUUGCACGUUAUAUCGAAUUNCAACUUUGUAAAACUGCCAAAAAAGUUGUCUGAUACAAUAGGUUUUGUGUGUUGAACUUCCAUCAUCCCAAGAUAAUCAUCAAGAAUCAUAAGCUUUGAGUAGUUGAAAAAAUCCUUACAAGACAAGACAAGAAACUCGAUGUCAAUAUAAUGGAAAAGUUUCAUAUGUUUGAUAUUUGAUUAAGAUAAUUGGCAUUUGAAUGAAUACUUAAGUCAAAUUUUGGUAAUUGGCCUGCAGCUUAUUUAUUUAUGUAUUUAUUUUUAUAAUAGGUGCCAAUUAUCUAAGAUAUAAAAAGAGAAAAAUAGAAUAAAAGAUGGCUAAAGGUUUUCUGACCAAAAUGCAAAAAAAAAAAAAAAGAAAAAAAAGUUAUAAAAGAAUAAUGGAGUGAUAACAAGUAACUUUGUUUUGAGAAAUAGACCAACCAGUUGAAUCCAAAAAUCCGUUUACUCAUUUAGUGUUUGGCCUUUUAGAAUUACAGACUCAAUCUCCAAUCGAAUUAUUUAUAGUAUAUGAUCCAUUAGACUUACAAAUCCGAUCUCCAUUUGAAUGAAAAAAACUGGAAAACUCGAACAAAAUCAGCUUCUAAAAUUAAAGUUUUGUUUUGAAGAAUCGAUUCGAAUUUUUUUAAAAUGUUUUGUAAAUUUCAUUUGGAAAUUUCCUUAGAGGUAAAAAACGUAAAAUAUUUUGUAUUUCUUUCUAGAAACCAUUCAUUUUUAAAUAAUAAUAUUAUGUAUUGUUGAACCUUAAUCCUAAAUACUAUGAAAAUAUUUUAUUUUUAUGCAAAUUUUGAAAUAUUGUACAAAAGACUAAGAUAUGUAGAAAAAAAUCAAGAACAUUCUACAUAAUGUAAAAAUCUAAAAGAUUUCACAUGAGUUGUGACUAGUAUCUUUUAGAAUAAUGUAUGGGUCUAUAAAUACCAAUAUAAUCUACCAGUUCAGGUAAGAUAACAUCUACCACAACUAAGACAACUACAAAAUACAUUUCUUUAUCUCAACAUAUUCUUUAUCCCAUCAACUAUUUUUUUCACAACCUAAAAAUAUGAAAAUUGUACCUUGUAAAAUAAUUAUCCAUCAAACAAAACCUACUGCUAAAUAAUAUAAUAUAUUAUAAAUGAUUUGAGGUUAAGAAAAGAGUAUUUUAUAACAAAAAAAAAAUAGUAAUGUAAUACUAUUUAGUAUAUAUAGCAAAAGUAAUUAGGAUAAGUAAUUCUGACCUUUUCAUGAAAUAAGCUUUGGAUAGUUGUGUUGAGAUCGACGUGGAAAGUGAAAUCAGAAUCGUUUAAUGUUUGAAUCCCCGAAAACAUUGCAAGUUUUAUGAGUCCUUCAGAGAAAGUUAUCAUAUUGGAACAUUCAGUAAUCAUCAUCUGUUGUAAACAUGGGCAUUGCAAUGUGGCAUUUCCUGAAUAAAAGCUUAUUAGCCUCGGUAAGUAUUCCAGCUUAANNNAUCUGAGUCGUCCAAAUAAUAUCUCAUCAGAACCAUCUUCCUCUUCAUUUCUUGCAAUUUCUUUGAUUGAUCCACAAUUUCUUAUGAUUAGAGUCUCAAGUUUCACCAAACUUUUGAGUGUUGCAAACGUGAAUAAAUACUCCAUCCUUUCGCAGU
rnacentral:lncRNA from 1 species